rnacentral:tRNA from 1 species
GAGGGUAUAGCUCAGCAGUAAAGUGCAUGCUUAGCAUGCAUGCUUAGUCCUGGGUUCAAUCCCCAGUACCUCCA